GAUGAACGCUGGCGGCGUGCCUAAUACAUGCCAGUCGAGCGAACAGACGAGGAGCUUGCUCCUCUGACGUUAGCGGCGGACGGGUGAGUAACACGUGGAUAACCUACCUAUAAGACUGGGAUAACUUCGGGAAACCGGAGCUAAUACCGGAUAAUAUAUUGAACCGCAUGGUUCAAUAGUGAAAUACGGUUUUUCUGUCACUUAUAGAUGGAUCCGCGCCGCAUUAGCUAGUUGGUAAGGUAACGGCUUACCAAGGCAACGAUGCGUAGCCGACCUGAGAGGGUGAUAGGCCACACUGGAACUGAGACACGGACCAGACUCCUACGGGAGGCAGCAGUAGGGAAUAUUACGCAAUGGGCGAAAGCAUGACGGAGCAACGCCGCGUGAGUGAUGAAGGUCUUCGGAUCGUAAAACUCUGUUAUUAGGGAAGAACAAAUGUGUAAGUAACUAUGCACGUCUUGACGGUACCGAAUCAGAAAGCAACGGCUAACUACGUG
rnacentral:rRNA from 1 species